rnacentral:rRNA from 1 species
GAUGAACGCUAGCGGCAGGCCUAACACAUGCAAGUCGAGGGGCAACGGGUGUAGCAAUACAUGCCGGCGACCGGCGCACGGGUGAGUAACGCGUAUGUAAUCUGCCCUGUACAGAGGGAUAACUCGAAGAAAUUCGGACUAAUACCUUAUAAUGACAAUUUGCGACAUCGCGAACAGUUUAAAGGAGCGAUCCGGUACAGGAUGAGCAUGCGUAUCAUUAGUUAGUUGGAGAGGUAACGGCUCCCCAAGGCGACGAUGAUUAGGGGUUCUGAGAGGAUAAUCCCCCACACCGGGACUGAGACACGGCCCGGACUCCUACGGGAGGCAGCAGUGAGGAAUAUUGGUCAAUGGUCGGAAGACUGAACCAGCCAUGCCGCGUGCAGGAAGACGGUCCUAUGGAUUGUAAACUGCUUUUGUAAUAGAACAAUAAGAUGUACGAGUACAUCGAUGAGAGUAUAUUACGAAUAAGCAUCGGCUAACUCCGUGCCAGCAGCCGCGGUAAUACGGAGGAUGCAAGCGUUAUCCGGAUUCAUUGGGUUUAAAGGGUGCGUAGGCGGCAUAUUAAGUCAGCGUAGAAAUGCCGGGGCUCAACUCCGGCGCUAGCGUAGAAACUGGUAAGCUUGAAUGCGAAUGAAGUUGGAGGAAUGUGUGGUGUAGCGGUGAAAUGCAUAGAUAUCACACAGAAGGUCGAUUGCGAAGGCAUCUGACUAAUUCGCCAUUGACGCUGAGGCACGAAAGCGUGGGGAUCAAACAGGAUUAGAUACCUUGGUAGUCCACGCCGUAAACGAUGAUAACUAGCUGUUGGCACAGAAUACGUGUCAGUGGCAAAGCGAAAGCGAUAAGUUAUCCACCUGGGGAGUACGACCGCAAGGUUGAAACUCAAAGGAAUUGACGGGGGCCCGCACAAGCGGAGGAACAUGUGGUUUAAUUCGAUGAUACGCGAGGAACCUUACCCGGGCUCGAACGGACAGAAUAUAAGACGUAUGAAGGUACGUUGCUAGCAAUAGAUUCUGCCGAGGUGCUGCAUGGUUGUCGUCAGCUCGUGCCGUGAGGUGUCGGCUUAAGUGCCAUAACGAGCGCAACCCUUGUUGUCUGUUGCCAUCGGGUAAAGCCGGGGACUCAGAUGAGACUGCCUGCGUAAGCAGUGAGGAAGGGGGGGAUGACGUCAAAUCAGCACGGCCCUUACGUCCGGGGCGACACACGUGUUACAAUGGAUAGGACAGCGGGUAGCUACCUGGCGACAGGAUGCAAAUCCCAAAAACUAUUCUCAGUUCGGAUUGGAGUCUGCAACUCGACUCCAUGAAGCUGGAUUCGCUAGUAAUCGCGCAUCAGCCACGGCGCGGUGAAUACGUUCCCGGGCCUUGUACACACCGCCCGUCAAGCCAUGGAAGCCGGGGGUACCUGAAGUAUGUUACCGCAAGGAGCGUCCUAAGGUAAGACCGGUGACUGGGGC